rnacentral:rRNA from 1 species
GAUGAACGCUGGCGGCGUGCCUAAUACAUGCAAGUCGAGCGAACAGACGAGGAGCUUGCUCCUCUGACGUUAGCGGCGGACGGGUGAGUAACACGUGGAUAACCUACCUAUAAGACUGGGAUAACUUCGGGAAACCGGAGCUAAUACCGGAUAAUAUAUUGAACCGCAUGGUUCAAUAGUGAAAGACGGUUUUGCUGUCACUUAUAGAUGGAUCCGCGCCGCAUUAGCUAGUUGGUAAGGUAACGGCUUACCAAGGCAACGAUGCGUAGCCGACCUGAGAGGGGGAUCGGCCACACUGGAACUGAGCCACGGCCCAGACUCCUACGGGAGGCAGCAGUAGGGAAUCUUCGGCAAUGGGCGAAAGCCUGACGGAGCAACGCCGCGUGAGUGAUGAAGGUCUUCGGAUCGUAAAACUCUGUUAUUAGGGAAGAACAAAUGUGUAAGUAACUAUGCACGUCUUGACGGUACCUAAUCAGAAAGCCACGGCUAACUACGUG